rnacentral:rRNA from 1 species
AACGAACGCUGGCGGCACGCCUAACACAUGCAAGUCGAACGAGACCUUCGGGUCUAGUGGCGCACGGGUGCGUAACGCGUGGGAACCUGCCCUUAGGUUCGGAAUAACUCCCCGAAGGGGGUGCUAAUACCGGAUAAUGUCUUCGGACCAAAGAUUUAUCGCCUUUGGAUGGGCCCGCGUUGGAUUAGCUAGUUGGUAGGGUAAAAGCCUACCAAGGCGACGAUCCAUAGCUGGUCUGAGAGGAUGAUCAGCCACACUGGGACUGAGACACGGCCCAGACUCCUACGGGAAGCAGCAGUGGGGAAUAUUGGACGAUGGGCGAAAGCCUGAUCCAGCAAUGCCGCGUGAGUGAUGAAGGCCUUAGGGUUGUAAAGCUCUUUUACCCGGGAUGAUAAUGACAGUACCGGGAGAAUAAGCUCCGGCUAACUCCGUG